AUUGAACGCUGGCGGCAUGCUUUACACAUGCAAGUCGAACGGUAACAGGCCUUCGGGUGCUGACGAGUGGCGAACGGGUGAGUAAUGCAUCGGAACGUACCCAGAGGUGGGGGAUAACGCAGCGAAAGCUGUGCUAAUACCGCAUGUGAUCUGAGGAUGAAAGCGGGGGACCGAGCAGCAAUGUUUGGCCUCGCGCCUUUGGAGCGGCCGAUGUCGGAUUAGCUAGUUGGUGGGGUAAAGGCCUACCAAGGCGACGAUCCGUAGCUGGUCUGAGAGGACGACCAGCCACACUGGGACUGAGACACGGCCCAGACUCCUACGGGAGGCAGCAGUGGGGAAUUUUGGACAAAGGGCGCAAGCCUGAUCCAGCAAUGCCGCGUGCGGGAAGAAGGCCUUCGGGUUGUAAACCGCUUUUGGCAGGAACGAAACGGUGUCCGCUAGUACCGGGCGCUAAUGACGGUACCUGCAGAAUAAGCACCGGCUAACUACGUG
rnacentral:rRNA from 1 species